UGAAAAGCAGGUGUCUGAGGGUCUGGUUUGGAGUCAGCCGGAGUCUCUUGCUGACUGAGACUGUCCCAUUAGGGAUGCUGUUAGGUUUGGGCAAACCCUGAACGGCAACACAGACUCGGCCCAGUGUCCGCAUGUCCACGGUCGCCUCAGCUUCGUUCACAGCAGCCGCGGCCGCAGGCCCAGGUGUCCGUGAGGGGUGGGCCAGUGCAGACGCAGGGUGUUCACACACGCACGACGGGACACUACUCGGCGGGGAAGGAGAACGUGCAGCCGUUAGGGCCUCAGAUGUUGAGGCAGCGCUCGCGGGACUCGGGGUACCGCUGAUCUCACGGCGUGGAUGGACACGCGGGUGGCACGCACACGUGGGACUGAGGUACCAAGUGUGUCUGUUACCCCUCAAGAGAGAUCAUCACAUCUACCGUAGGAGCAACACUGUGAGUGCUCAGAACUGCCUCCAGUGAGCCAGGGAAGUUCCUGUUGCUGUCAUGCUCUGUUUUAGUAACACGGUUACCUACAUGUGUGUAUUUUAGAUAAAAUGGUGAGACGUGAUUGGAAUAGAAAAGGACCAAAACACAGGA
ensembl:lncRNA